UAAUACAGGGGGUGCAAACGUUGCUCGGAAUUAUUGGGCGUAAAGCGCGCGUAGGCGGCUACUUAAGUCGGAUGUGAAAGCCCUUGGCUCAACUGAGGAAGUGCACCCGAAACUGAGUGGCUUGAGUACUAAAGAGGGUCGCGGAAUUCCCGGUGUAGAGGUGAAAUUCGUAGAUAUCGGGAGGAACACCGGUGGCGAAGGCGGCGACCUGGGUAGAUACUGACGCUGAGGCGCGAAAGCGUGGGGAGCAAACAGGAUUAGAUACCCUGGUAGUCCACGCCGUAAACGAUGGGUGCUAGAUGUUUCUGGUAUUGACCCCGGAGGCGUCGUAGCUAACGCGUUAAGCACCCCGCCUGGGAAGUACGGCCGCAAGGCUA
rnacentral:rRNA from 1 species